rnacentral:tRNA from 1 species
GCUGGGGAUAUAGCUCAGUUGGUAGAGUACUUUCCUCACAUGCAAAAGACCCUGGGUUUAAUCCCUAGCACAGCA